CCGGCGACCGGCGCACGGGUGAGUAANACGUAUGCAACCUGGCCGUCACAGGUGGAUAACCGGAAGAAAUUCCGACUAAUACAGCAUAACACUCCUGAGGGACAUCCUUCGGGAGUCAAAGGAGGCAACUCCGGUGACGGAUGGGCAUGCGGCGCAUUAGGUAGUUGGUAGGGUAACGGCCUACCAAGCCGACGAUGCGUAGGGGUUCUGAGAGGAAGGUCCCCCACAUUGGAACUGAGACACGGUCCAAACUCCUACGGAAGGCAGCAG
rnacentral:rRNA from 1 species